rnacentral:rRNA from 1 species
UACAGAGGGUGCAAGCGUUAAUCGGAAUUAUUGGGCGUAAAGGGCAUGUAGGUGGCGAUUUAAGUCUGAUGUGAAAGCCCUGGGCUUAACCUGGGAAUUGCGUUGGAAACUGGAUAGCUAGAGUCGGACAGAGGGCCGUGGAAUUUCCGGUGUAGCAGUGAAAUGCGUAGAGAUCGGAAAGAACACCCGUGGCGAAGGCGGCGGCCUGGGACCAGACUGACACUGAGGUGCGAAAGCAUGGGGAGCAAACAGG